UUUUAGUUCUAGAUGACAGCUUUAGAUGGA
rnacentral:piRNA from 1 species